rnacentral:rRNA from 1 species
UACGUAGGGUCCAAGCGUUAAUCGGAAUUACUGGGCGUAAAGGGCUCGUAGGUGGCCAACUAAGCCAGAUGUGAAAUCCCCGGGCUUAACCUGGGAAUGGCAUUUGGGACUGCAAGGCUGGAGUGUGGCAGAGGAGACUGGAAUUCCCGGUGUAGCAGUGAAAUGCGUAGAUAUCGGGAGGAAUACCGAUGGCGAAGGCAGGUCUCUGGGCUGACACUGACGCUCAUGCACGAAAGCGUGGGGAGCAAACAGG